AGUAUAAUUCACAUUCUUUUCUAGCUUUAAAUCUCAAAUAUCAUUAAUCUUCUAUCAAUCAAGGAAAUGGUAAAACCAAAAUCUUUAUCAAUUUCUUUUUGAAGAAAGAAGAAUUAGUUAAUAGAAAUUGAAAAAGAAGAAUAUGUGGCUAAGAGAAAAGGCAUCCUCAUUUACAAAAUAUCGUAAAAUUAGCAAAGACCCAGAGAAAAACUAACAAACAAGCUAAAAAAACAAUUAUAUCCAAAAGUGGCAUCUUAGCUUCUUAGAGCACCAUGCUGAAAAUGACCCAAUCCUCACAACAAACAAUAGCUUUUGCCAACAACUCUAGCUGAUCUGUGAAAUGGUAAACUUAAAGUGCACUCUUUCUAAAAAACAGUGAAUCACCAAACUCACUACUAUUUAACCACCUAACUAUACAGCCUGGAACAAUGCAUCAAGUCAAGCAUCACAACUGCCUUGGUCCAAACCGGAAACAAUAUUAGUAACCAUACAGCACACAUCCAGAUUAUUCUAUCUUCAUCCAAAUAUUCAUAAACUUGGUAAUGCUGAUCAAAUCCAGAAGAAAACAGUAGGUUAAUAUUCUAAACAACCUUUAUGAACCAAAACUUCCAGCUCCUCUCAUUCCAAGCAGUUACACCUAGUAUCACCACCCAAAGCUAUAAAUCUCUGCAAUUGAUAUAAUGCACCAAAUACUCAAAAUUAAUUCUCAUAAAACAGGUUUCUCUCCCUUCAACAUGGAUACUUUUCUACUGCUAUGCCUUCUGACAGACCAAGCAAGGUAAAUAUUUUGAUAAUCCUGUGAUGUGUAAAAGGGCAUAGGUAAAACCAAACAUCCAGAUACUUGCAACAAAUAUCUAUUGGAGUGCCAACAAACUGUCAAUAACAGCAGACAAUAACAUCAAACUUGGAUCAACACCAAACAAUAACAGCAUGGACAAUUUAUAGGGUUUUAUACAAUUGCAAAUAGUAUGACAGAAUCAUAGAACAUUUAGUACAACAUGUGAAGUGUUCUAGGAAAGGUUUACAGAAAUUUAUAAAUAUAGGCACACUAACCACUUUCAAGGGCUUCCUGCACCGUUUGGAGGGUAACAAGUGACUCAACCAAAGGAUCUUGAUCUGCAGAGGGCUGAUGGCUCUCACUUUUCUCUUCCUUAUCUUCCCAAGG
rnacentral:misc_RNA from 1 species